rnacentral:rRNA from 1 species
CAGUAGCGUAUAUUAAAGUUGUUGCAGUUAAAAUGCUCGUAGUUGAAGUUCGGAUGCAGCAGAGCUUGGAAACGCUGUUAUGGUGCUUCCGUUGCUUUUGCUUGUCCACAGUGCGUUGCAAGUACGUAUGUGCUUGUGCGUGCAUUUUACUUUGAGAAACAUAGGGUGUUCCACGCAUGUUACGGCAUGAAUAUUCCAGCAUGGGAUAAUCUGGUACGACUUCCAAUCUGCCAUUUUGGUUCGUAGGUUGGAAGUAAUGAUUAAUAGGGACUGUCGGGGACAUUGGUAUUUGACUGUCAGAGGUGAAAUUCUUAGAUUCGUUGAGGACCAACCACUGCGAAAGCAUUUGUCAAGGAUGUCUCCAUUAA